UCCCAACUGGCUCAGUGGUAAAGAACCUGCCUGCCAAGCAGGAGACACCGCUUCCAUCCCCGAGUUGGGAA
rnacentral:tRNA from 1 species